GAUGAACGCUGGCGGCGUGCCUAAUACAUGCAAGUCGAGCGAACGGACGAGAAGCUUGCUUCUCUGAUGUUAGCGGCGGACGGGUGAGUAACACGUGGAUAACCUACCUAUAAGACUGGGAUAACUUCGGGAAACCGGAGCUAAUACCGGAUAAUAUUUUGAACCGCAUGGUUCAAAAGUGAAAGACGGUCUUGCUGUCACUUAUAGAUGGAUCCGCGCUGCAUUAGCUAGUUGGUAAGGUAACGGCUUACCAAGGCAACGAUGCAUAGCCGACCUGAGAGGGUGAUCGGCCACACUGGAACUGAGACACGAUCCAGACUCCUACGGGAGGCAGCAGUAGGGAAUCUUCCGCAAUGGGCGAAAGCCUGACGGAGCAACGCCGCGUGAGUGAUGAAGGUCUUCGGAUCGUAAAACUCUGUUAUUAGGGAAGAGCAUAUGUGUAAGUAACUGUGCACAUCUUGACGGUACCUAAUCAGAAAGCCACGGCUAACUACGUG
rnacentral:rRNA from 1 species